rnacentral:lncRNA from 1 species
UCAAAAUAAAAAAAGAUGUACUUGGAAAAUGUUCAAGAAUUUGCUGUGGGGGCGAAUUAGAUAAAAACAAGAAUUGGGGGGAAAUAAUUUAAUUUUCUUUUCCUUUUCUUUUUCCUUUUCUCGAGGGUGAAUUCAUUUUUCGUGAAGUACCCGGGAAAGGGAAUUGGAAAUUUCUCAAGGAGUUGGUUUUCUUUCUUGUAAACGGGUUUUGGUUGCCGUGUAACGCCUCAAAUCUCCAAAUUGCGGUAAGUGCCUCUGGAUUCUGAUGUGAUUUCCGCCAUUUUGUUGUUUGAGAUAUAUGAUUACUUUGCACACUCUGCCCUCUAGGGUUUUGCUCGGAUUGCUUGGUCGUUGAGACAAUGGAAGAAAAGAAAAUCAAGUCAACUUUGAAUUCGUGUGUGCUUUUUGUUGUGUUCUGGGGAAAUUGAAAAGAGAAAAUUCGCAACUUUAGCAAGCCUAAAUCUUAAUUUAGUGGAGGUUUCAGUUUUCUUGGGUCUUACAUAAUGAAAUCUCUAAGAAUCAGAAUUCUACUUCCUUUCUUUCCGUACAUUCCCCCCUCCAUCAAACAGAGUGUUUGUUUUCUCAUAAGCAGAGUGUUUUGUUGUUGUUGCUGUUAUUAUCAAUAGAUCACUAACAGUGAAACAUUUUUUUAUUUCUUUUUCUCUUCUUUUCCUUGACAUGUAUCAACAUUUUGAAUAUAGUAGCAAUGAAAUUGAACAAAGUUCUGAUCACCAAGGAGUGAAAUUAAAAUGCAGAAGGGAUUAGUCUAUCAUUUGCUGCGGAUAUAGAUUGUGGGUAGUUUGAUACCAUCGGCAUGCAUAUGUUGGAAAUGGUGCUUGAAAAUGAAAAUGUGAUGUGAACUUGGUGGAGAAAGUUAGGAGAUCCUCUAGGACUUUGAUCUUGUGGUACCCUGGAGAGGAUAACCAUAAUCAAUGGUGCAUAGUUUCUAGAUGCUUCUGGUAUAGGGCACAAUUGUGACAUGAUUGUAGAGAAGCCCUUAAGGUAUUCAAGCAAUAGUUGGGGUUAGGCAAAAUGUAAUUCGUUUGUGGGAUGUCAAGGCACAGAAAAAAGAUGUGAAAGUUGCCGUUUGUGCCAAGCUGACUGCUUGAAUGAGAUGAAAAGAGUGAAAUGCAGGGGAGUAGACUUGGUUAGAUUUAUAUCAUUGACAUACAAUAGUGGAACAAGAAAACAUCUGAAUCCUUGAAUCAUUCCAAAUGAGCCAUAAGGUGACGAAUAUGAGUUGAAUUCCAAGAUAUUAGCACCAAGGGUUUGUUUGAGAAUAUGGAGGGGCCUUAUGGAAUAGAUUAAUGAAAAAACCUGAGGAUUGUUCCUAUACACAUCUUCUGAUAGUUUCUACUGGUUGAUCAAUGGUCCAAUUUUAGGCGACGAUAAGAUCGAUAAUGGCACUGACAGUAGUGCACUUAAUAUGACUGAAGGCCCCAUCGAAAUUGAGAGUUUUUUAUUUUUUAUUGUUAGUCUCAUAUUUUGCUAUUGACCUACUUAUAUUUGAUUAACUUAUCAGGCUUUUAUAUUGUAUUUUAAGCCUUAAUAAGCCAGCAAUAUCAAUGACAGGGCAACAAACAAAACCAAGUACCAUGUGUUGUGCACCAUUGACCGAACUUAUCUGUUGUACCAAAUACUUAGCCUUUUUACAUAGCAACUCUAGUCAAGAAAAACUAGAGAAAGAGUCACUACGACCUUUGUAGUACUUUGGGUAUUAUCCUCAGGGAUUGACUUAUGGAAAUUGUCAAUACUAGAAUAAAUGAAGUGCUUUUGUUUAAAUCCUAAAGUGAAAAACAAUUUGGGAAUUACCUUUUAUGAAAUGGGAUUAAGUGAAUAAAACUAAAUUAAUAACAAAAUGAAUAUUGAUUUUUAAUUCAAUCGAUUCAAGUUUGGGGCUUUCCAUAAUCCAACUUAAGGUAUAGAAAUAGAGAGAAUAAGGGUUUCUUAAGUAAAGUGAUCUUAGGGUUUUGGGAUCCUUGGCCGUUUUGCGAUCAACUUGAGUUUUAUAAAUCAAAAUUGCAUUUGAAACCUAAUUUUUCCUUUUUAAAACAAAUUUCUAAAACCAUCAAAUGAAUGAGAUUGAUUACCAGUUUAAGAUUUGACUUUUUAAUCCUUCUUACUCCUUAUAGCUUUGUUUUGGGGCAAAUAACGAUAGGGAAGACGAGGAUAACUAAUGAUAAAAAAUUAUCAAAAAUCACUAGUAUUAGGUAAUAACCUACCGUAUCAUUUCCUAAACUAACUCACAAGGAUAGAAUAAAAAAAUUGAUAAAUUGUCACCCAACUAAUAAUUAAUCUCAUUGUUAUAAUAAUUUACCCAUUGUCCGUGUAGGUUUCCUAGCCCUUAGGUUUUCAUGUUUCAAGCCUUAAGUUAGCUUCUUAGCCUCUUAUGAGGGUGAUGUCACAUUCACAAUUCAUAAUGGGGUAAAAAUCCAUAAUUUGAAUAAAAAGAAACUAAAAACAAUAUAUUUAAUAAAGAAGAAAAGGAAAACAAGUCAAAGUUCUUGUCUUCUUCCACCUUCAAUGUCAAACUCUUAGGAAAAAAAUAUCCAAGAUACCUUAAACCUAGAAUUAAGAGAAUUUAUAUAAUAUCAUCAAUUACCUAACAUGUGGUACACUCUCAUUGGCCACUUAUUACAAAAAUAAUUAUCUAAAAAAAUGAUUAAAAAAUAAUCAAAUGGUGAUUUCUAGUCGUGUAGGGUCCACUUAGGGCGAAUGGAGUGCCCUAGAUGCAAUUGUCGAGGUAGAGGAGGCAAAACAUCAAAGUGACAGUGGGUGAAUUCAAAAUUGGCAUUGACAAAACAUCAAAUGGGAGUCAUAAGUUGAAUUUCAAAAUCAUUUCGAAAUGACCCUUGAGCUUUGCGCAGUUGUCUUCAAAUUACCAUAACUUCUUCAUUUCAACUCUGAUUUGUACACCAUUUGAAGUGUUGGACUCUUGACUUCCCGAGCUUCGAAACGAUAUAUAGUAUGCCUAAAAUGGAUUUUAGGAAUUACUCCAAAUUUGUCCUCAAAGUCAGAGUACAUGUUACCACUAGAUUUUGAAUUCCAAAUUUCUAUGCAACUGAAUCUUGCUUCAUGUCUCAUUUCCCAUGUUUUCUUGCCUUCUUUCUUAAUCCAUAAUGGUCAUUUCUCAUAUUCCAAACUCAUGAUAUCCUCGUUUUGCCUUUUCUCAUAGUCUAUAAGUCUUGACUCACUUAUUUCCUCAUUUAGUCAUUUCUUGAUCCUUCAAAAUCUAAAGUGAUUCAACUUGUACCUUUUUCUUUCCUUGAACUUGAGAUAAGUCGCCAAAGUACAAGUUAAACUCAUGACUAGGGCCUUAGCAUUGAUUUAGGUCAAAUUGGGUAAUUUGAAUGUCCUUUGGUGCACAAAUCAUAUCGAAUUUGUGCCAUUAGAGCACAUAAUUUGGCUCCAAUCCCCCUCAACCCAAACUUUGCUAGUCCUUAGCAAAUAAAAAAAGUAAAAAAAAAAAAAUGAAAAAUAUGUAAUGAGAUUCAUGAGACCAUAUUGACUCAACAUAACAUGUUUCACACACAAGAUACCUAAGUAGUCAAAUUUCCUAGAAUUGAGCAAGAUGACACAAGAUAUGCAAUUUUUUAGUUUUCUCACCUUAUCUUCGUAUACAAAAAUGAGCAUCAAUGUUUGGCAUUCCCCUUAGUGUCUCUUGAUUUUCCCUUGAUUGGUUCUUUCCACCUAAACCUCAUGUGCUUAAUUUUGGUGUCCUUUCAUAGUAUUUUUCUUAAAACAUUUCUUAAACUCAAAUUUCAUCAUUCUUUAAGUUCAAGAGGGAAGAAUUUAUUUUGAUUUUUCUUUCUUAGUUUAGGAAAUCUCCUUCUAUAUGGCUCAAUAGGGAUCCACCGACAACUCCCGAGUUUUCACCCAAGGUACCAGGUAUUAAGGACCUUUAUAGGCCACUUACCCCUUAGUUAUCACCCUAGCUCAAGGUAGAACAAGGUUGAAUUUCCUAAACGUUUAUUCCUUUUUAUUUUUAUUUUUUCAAGACUGAGUUUAGUUUGUGUAACGAGCAAGAUAUCGAUGACUCCUAACCAGUUGGUUUUGGGCGCCAAGGCUUGAAGACAUAAGGCAAUUACCCCUAGGAUAAUUGCUCAAGCUUAAUCAGUCAUUUUCAAAUUUUUUUUUUCAAUUUGUUUUUCUUUUCUCCUCCUCUUGCUACUUAAGAACAACUCCUUUCAAGCUAAAGAAAUUGUCUUAAUCAAGAUACCAUAAGGGUACACGUGCUUUGUGUGUGCUUUGAGUCUUAACUAGAAAAUAACCAUCAAAGAAAAAUUGAAGGUAUUCCAAGGAUUCAACCUAACUAUUUUUGCACUUAAAGGUAUAGAAAGAUGAGAUAUGUGAACUAAUACUCUUGCUUUAACUAUAUUUCUUCUCAAAUUCUAAAGAAAUAAUACUACUUAAAGUAUUCUCAUGCAAAAUAAACCAUGAAUUACCAAAGCAAAUCAAGAAUCUCAUUAACUAACCAAAGAUAGCAUGCAAACUUUUAAAAAAAAUAAAAAUUAGGGCUAAUAUACCUUCUCCCUCAACCUUAAUUACACAUUGUCCCCAAUGUGUAGGAUAAUGGGUCAAAAGAAAGGAAAAAGGAAAAUAUUACCUUCAGAUCAUCAGGUGAGAAGUUUGUUAUGAGGAUUUCAUAUAAACUGGUCUUGCACAAAAGCAACAAGAUCAAUAGCAAAAGUAUGCAUAAAGAAAACUAUAAAUGGUGAGAUUCGAAAAGAAAGUAUAAGAGCAUAAGUAUGCCCCAAAAAUACCAUAGUGUAUACAACCAUCUCGAAGAAGGUAUGUAUAAAAAUGAAAAUCAAGCGCCAAUGAUAGGAACAACAACUCCAUCUAUCUCCUCCAACACAGGGGUGGCUACUUGGUCAAUGUCCUCCGAUAUAGGUGUAGUAGCCUGAUCAGUGAUCUCCAAUAUAGAUGUAAUAGCCUCACCACCAUUCUACAUCAUAGGGGGGUCAUCGCUAAUGAUGAUUUCCACACCAAUGUCAGCAACUCGAAUGAAAAUCUCACCAUCGACCUGACCUGUAGAAUAUGGAAUAUCAAUGAUCAAGGUAAAAAUCUUAGUUGUAGCAUCACCUGAUGUCUGUAAAAUAGGCAUGGUCUCAUAGGCUACCGUCGGUGCUCUAGUGUCAAAGCCUCAACUAAUCACCUCUGGGCCACCAUCAACCUCUAAGUUGGUAUCAGCUGGUGUAACAAAAUCUUCCCUCUAUCUAAGUGGAAUAACCAAGGAAGUGAACUACCAUACAAAAAAAGUGAGGUCAUCCAUCCGAGUCUUCAUCUUACUUAAGCAAGCAUCAAUGCGGGAAUCCAUGGACACAAAUAACUCUUGAAGUGUGUUUAGAUGGGCCAUGAUCGAUAAGGUACUCGGGAUAGCAUCAGCAACCUGAGGCUGCGAAGGUCUAGGGAUAUUAGAGACUGGUACUACUGGUGUAGAAAUAGGAACAACAGGCUCUGGGGCACUCAAAAGAGGUGGUGGAAAAAGAAUAGGAAGCACUAGUAAGCUCGUGUCAAAAGUAGGAGUAGGUGGAAGUGGGCUCUCUGCAGUAGAUGGAAGUGGAACAACAUGCAAAGCUCUCUUUCGCCUAGUUCCAUGGGUAGUCAACUGUGACCUUGAAUGAAUCACUCGAGUCCAUUGAUCGAUAACAUAAGUGUGAGAAGCCAUGCGGCAAUCAAACUCAGGUAACUAGUGUCCACAGCGAAGCAAGUAGUAUGAGAGCAAUUGAGACAAAGGAAUGAGAUUGCUUUGAGUUGAAGCUAACUGUUUCUCCUUCACCUUUUGAAAAAAAUAAAUGAUGGUAUCCAUGAUGAGUUGAGUUGGACUCCACCACUCACCGUCUACAUGUGAUAUAACCCCCAUAAGAUUAAACCAGAGCGCUUUGUAGAGUGUCCAAAUGGAAAAAUGUUGGUGUUAAUGACUUGAUCCACAAACCAUAAGAUCUGUGGCAUCUCAAGGCGAGUAAUGGGCGAACGACAACGAGUAUCUCGAGGUGCUAGUAUACGUGCAAUCCUCGGAAAGGUUGGUUGUGACGAAGGUGCAAAUUAGGCUUCAAGAGGAGCAGAUGAUGGUAAACCAAAGGCUACAACAAUGGUCUUAGUGGAAAUAAUAUCAACUCGUCCUUUGAUAGAAAAAUUUAACUCUCGAUACCCCCCUCUCCAAUCCUCAAGAAUAGAGAAGAACUCUCAUACACUAGCGGCAUAAAAAUUUGGGAGAAAAUCCAUCAAUGCGAGAAAAUAAUAUUGAUCGAGGAGACGCAUGGAUCGUGCAUUGGGCUUAUAAGUACUAAAUCCCUUUGUCAUAAGAGAAUUCCUUACCAAACUCCGAUCGAGAUAGGUCCACCCUAGGGUCAUCAUCCCAAACUCUUAGAGAUGGAGGACGUGUUGGGCUUAGAGUAAGGGAAGCUGCUCGUGGAUGUGGAGGAGUGGUAGUAGGCCUGGUGGUCGUAGGAGUGGUUGAGCGAUCAAAACGGGCCUUCGUCCUGGCCUCUACAUGCAUGGCUUCAAUCCUCUUAGUGGUUGGGCGAUCAAAACAAGCCUUCGUCUUGGCCUCUACAUGCUUAGCUUAACGAGUGACAUGCCUCUCGGUAGGCUCACUAAUCACUACGCCACUUCGACUUUGGACAAGAGGUCAGGCACGCUUUUGCCUCGGGGAAUGCCCGGUCACAUUGUCACUUUGAACAACAACUUUCCUUUUAUCUCGAGCCAUCUGAAAUAAAUGUUGAAAAACAAACUAAACUUAAAGAAGGAAAAUAAAUAAAUAAAUAAAAAUAAAUAUAAAAAUUCAUUAGGGUUAAGAAAACAAUCUAAAAUAAAAUUAAGAAAAAAAUGAAAUAAAACAAACAAAGAAAUUGUAUGUGGAGAAAAAUUGGAUGCUCAUGAAAUUUAUGGAUUCAUGUGAAACAGUGGUAGACCAUUCCUAAAAUGCGGGAGCACAUUCAAGGUGUCCAACAAUGAUGAAAACAUGAGUCUUUAAAGCCUUAGAUAUAAUCCAAACAAUACCUAAGUUCAAAUAUCAUGUGACAAGGAAGUCAAAGUGAUUGGUUAGCUUAGGAGAAUGUGCAGAACAAAUAGAAAAAUCUACUAGAGAGUUUAAAAUGUUCCAGAGAAUAUAAAACAUAGAUUAGGCAACAAUUAUGCAAAACUCAUCGAAAAAUAAGGACUUUGCUCUCAAAGUAUUCUAAGAUGUUCAACAAGCCCUAAGAAUCAUGUAAAAAAAAUUUUCAAAAAUUUUCUCUAAGUAUAAACCAAAAAUUCUAACGCCCUGAAUUUCCAAGCAAAGCAAAUGAACUGUGUGAAACCAAAAUCAAUCUUGUUGCACUACACUCGGGUUAUUUAUCGUUUUUGAUUUAUCUAUCCAACCGGAAUAAUAGAAACCCUAAACAAUGUUGAUGAGAGUUGGGUAACACUGCAUUUUAUAUGGAGCAACACCGUACAACGAAACCAUAAAGAUCAAGAAAAAUCCAUGAAAAAUAAACAAGAAACGAGUAUGAGUGUAAUGCGUACUUGGAAUGCAACAAACCCACCAUGAAACCUUAAAAUUGCCUUCAAUGGAAGCUAGGAAGAUGAACAAGGGAAGAGAAAACAAAGGGGAGAGGAAAUGAAGUGGUCUAGAAGUGGAAACGACCAUUUGUAAAGGAGUUUGGGUGAUUUCGGAAUGAGCUCCAAAUAGAAAUUAGGUAUUUUGAAUUGGAUUUUGGUUUAGAAGAGUCAUUUCGAAAUUUAACUAUUGAAUUCGCAAAUAACCUUAUUUCGAAUUCGUUAAUUGAUGGUAAAAAAAAUAGCUAUUUUAAAAUGUAACCAUUAGAUUCGAAAACUACCUUAUUUUGAAAUGGCUCACUGUAUACAAAAACAUUUUAGACACAUCAUUUCGAAAUGAAAGAAAAUCAUUUCUAAAUUGGGCAAAUUUCAAAUUCACCUUCUGAAGUUCAAAAAUCUCAAUUCUAAAACAAAAAAUUUGAUUUUGAUAAGCCCACCAUUUCAAAUUUGCUAACUAUAGCCUCAAUGUAGGGAAAUAAACCCAUUUCGAAAUUUCACUAAUGAUUUCGAAAAUAGCUCCAUUUUGAAAUGACUCACUAUUGAUUCCAACUUCUAUUUCGAAAUUGCAUUUUUUUUAUUUUUUUAUUUCGAAUUUGCCUUCAUUUCGAAAUAACCCGCUGUGAGUGUUGAAGUCCAUUUUAAAGCAUCAAAAUUGCUCAUUUCAAAAUUCAAAAUCCAUCUCAAAAUUCCUUGUAUUCCAAACUCAUUGUUUGUGAGUUCAAAACAUCUAUUUCAACAUUUACUAGUGAUUUCGAAAUCAAUCUCAAUUCGAAUUCACUUUCUGUGGGUUUAAAAUUGCAAUUCCAAGAAAAAAAAAUUGAAUUUGAAAGGAUCAUAAUAUUGAAAUCACCCACGAGUGGUCUCCAAGAGCGUCAUCUUCAUUUGAGAUUUCAAAUUUAAAAACGAAGGAAUUUUGAACUCAUCCACUAUACCUUUAACUCUUCAUGUUUUUUUUUUCUUUUUUUUUUAUUUUAAAAAAUUAGGAUCUUUCCCAAGGGCCACUUAGUUUGUGUACUCUAUCAUUUGUACUCAAAGUUCACCAAUAAUCCUCACAAGUAAAUUUUGGAGACCUAUAGUUUUAAAUAUGGAUUAGCGUACUUGUAGGAGCUUUGUCACCUUGAACACAUGUGAGGCUUACCUUUUUACUCCCUUGGAGUUUGCAUUUCUCUAUAUCACCCGGAUGUUUGCAAGCUAAGUAGCUACAUCUCAUAAACUCAUUAGUCAGUUAAAAACAACUAAAAAAUAAAAAAUAAAAUAAAAAAAUGCUAACCAUAUUGCUAAUGACUAAUUGAAAAUGCAAAACUAAACAAAGGAAAAAUAAAAUAGAAUAAAAUAAAAGAUAAUCAAAGUUCAUCUUCUUUAUAGCCCAAUAUGCACGAUGUUCGAGCUCUACAAGCAAAUGACAUGUUUUACCAUAAACAGUCCGAUAUGGUGACAUGCCAAGGAUAGUCUUAUAGGUUGUCCUAUAUGCCUAAAGGGCAUCACUCAACUUGGUAGACCAAUCUUUUCUUGUAGUGUUGACUACUUUGGUCAGGAUUCUCUUAAUCUCCUGAUUUGCUAGCUUGGCUUGCCCAUUCAUUUAAGAGUGAUAUGGGGUGGACACUUUAUGCCUCACUCCAUAUUUCUACAAAAGAGUGGAAAAGGGCUUGUUACAAAAGUGUGAACCUCCAUCACUAAUGAUUGCUUUCAGAAUGCCAAACUUAGAGAAAAUAUUCUCCUUUAAAAAUCUGAGCACCACUUUAUGAUCUUUGCUCUUGCAUGCUACUUCUUCUACCCAUUUAGAGACAUAAUCCACUCCCACGAAAAUAUAGAGAUUACCAAAAAAAGGAGGGAAUGGUCUCAUAAAGUCAAGGCCCCAACAAUCAAAGACCUCAACAACACAAAUGUGAUUUUGUGGCAUUUGAUACCUUGUGUUGAUUUUCCCCGGUUGUUGACAUUGUGGACAACUUUUACAACGAGUGUUACAAUCCUUGAACAUAGUUGGCCAAUAGAAUCCACUUUGUAGAAUUUUUUCUAAAGUCUUCCUUGGAGCAAAAUGACCUCCACAAACUCCUUCAUGACACAUUCACAAUAUGUCUUGUUGUUCAUCCUCUGGAACACAUCUCCGAAUAAUUUGAUAUGGGCAAAACUUAUACAAAUAUGGAUCAUCCCAAGCAUAGUGUUUUGCCCGUGAAAGAAAAUACUUUUUCGUCUCCAUGUUCCAUUCUGAGGGAAGCUCUCCAAUUGCCAAGUAGUUGACUAUAUUUGCGAACCAAGACAACUUCUCCAUUGAACAAAGUGCAUCAUUAAGAAACUCAUCAUUAAUUUGUGCUUCCUCGAAAUGCGACUCUACUUUAACUUUGGAGAGAUGAUCAGUAACCACAUUCUUUACCCCUUACUUAUCCUUGAUUUGAAUGUUAAAUUCUUGAAGAAGAAUGAUCCAUUUGAUAAGUCUUGCUUUGGCAUCCUUUUUGUUGAGUAAAUAUUUCAAGGCCGAAUGAUCAGUAAAAAUUACUAUUGAAGUUCCCAAAAGGUAGUUCUUGAAUUUAUCAAGUGCGAACACCACUACAAAGAGCUUAUUUUCAGUAGUUAUGUAGUUCUUCUGAGCAUCAUUGAGGGUCUUACUAGCAUAGUACACUACAUAUGGUUUUCCAUCUUCCCUUUGACCCAGUAUAGCUCCUACUGCACAAUCACUGGCAUCACACAUCAACUCAAAUGGAAGAGACCAAUUAGGAGGUCUCGCAAUUGGUUCAGUAGUGAGGAGUGACUUUAGCCUCUCAAAAGCUUCUUGACAUGCUUUAGUCCAUAUGAAUUUUGCAUCCUUAAGCAAUAAAGCAUAAAGAGGUUGAGAGAUUUUUUAGAAGUCCUGUAUGAACCUCCUAUAAAAACCUGCAUGUCCCAAAAAUUGUCUCACCUUUUUAACAAUAGUAGGUGAAGGUAGCUUUGAGAUAAGCUCAAUUUUUGUUAGAUCUACCUGAAUGCCCUCUCUAGAGAUGAUAUGACCAAGUACUACAUUUGAGGUUGCCUUGAAGUGGCACUUCUCCCAAUUUUGGACCAAGUCCUUCUCAAUGCACCUUUUCAAAACUUUUUUCAAAUUUAAGAGACAAUCAUAAAAGGUCUUCCCAUAAAUUAUCAAAUCAUCCAUGAUUCUCUCUACCAUGUCACUGAAGAUACUGAACAUACACCUUUGAAAUGUGGUCGGCGCAUUACAAAGACCAAAAAGCAUUUUUCUAUAAGCAUAGGUGCUAAAUGGGCAUGUGAAUGUGGUUUUCUCCUGAUCCUCCAAUGCAAUGGCAAUUUGAAAGUAACCUGAAUAGCCAUCCAAGAAGAAAUAAUAGUCAUGGCUGGCUACCCUCUCCAAAACUUGAUCCAAGAAAGGCAAUGGAAAAUGAUCUUUCUUGGUGACUGGAUUCAACUUCCUAAAAUCAAUGCAUACUUGCCAACUUGUAGUCAACCUUGUAAGAAUGAGCUCUCCUUGAUCAUUCUUCACCACAAUUAUCUCGUGUUUAUUAGGUACUACUUGAGUGGGGCUCACCCAACUACUGUCAGAGAUAGGAUAAAUUAUACCUGCAUCUAAAAGCUUCAAUACCUUAUUUCUGACUACAUCUUGCAUAAGGGGAUUUAGCAUUCUUUGUGGUUGCCUCACUAGUUUUGCAUUCUCUUCCAAAUAAAUAUGAUGCAUGCAAAUCAAGGGAUAUAUUCCUUUCAAAUCUGAAAUGGACCAACCAAUCGCCCUUUUAUUCUCUUUAAGCACCUUCAAAAGUUUGAUUUUUUGCUCUUCAUUUAAUGUAACUGAAAUGACCAUAGGUUUUUCUUCAUUUUCUUCUAAAUAAACAUACUUUAAACCAUGCAGUAGGGGCUUUAACUCUGGUUUGCUGAUCUCAACCUCCCCUUUUUUGCUUUCUUUAUCAUUCUCAACACUGUUCAAAGAUUGAAUGGUACAUUUUUCUUUCCACUUUGUAGCAACUUCAAUACGUUCUUCUUUAGCAAUUGUAGAGAAAAAUCCAUCUAUAUUUUCCUCCAUUAACUUUUUUGUGUGUUCUUGCACCAAGGCCUUUAUAAGGCAUGCUUCCUCAUCCUCCACAUCAUCAUGGUCUAUCAAUUGCUUGCAUAAAUUGAAGACAUUCAUUUCCACUGUCAUGUUCCCAAAAGAUAACUGCAUCAAUCCAUUGCGACAGUUAAUGAGAGCAUUGGUUGUAGCAAGGAAGGGUCUCUUAAGAAUAAUUGGAAUAUAAUUUACACCAUUUUUCAAUGAUUUUGCAUCUAACACCACAAAGUCUAUUGGGUAGUAGAACUUUUCAACUUGCACCAAGACAUCUUCGACUACUCCUCUGUGUACGUUAAUCGAACAGUCUACUAAAGAGAGUGUAAUGGUAGUAGCCUUAAGCUCUCCCAAUCCCAAUUGCUUAUAGAUUGAAUAUGGAAGCAAAUUUACACUAUCUCUCAAAUCUAACAAAGCCCUUCCACGAAUGAGUCUCCAAUCUGGACUGAGAUGGUAGGACAACCUGGAUCUUUGUACUUCACCAUUGCCUUAUUCUCAAUGAUGGCAUUGACUUGCUUAGUGAGGAAUGCUUUCUUGCUUAAUUUAAUUCUUCUCUUCACAAUGCAUAAGUCCUUGAGGAACUUUGCAUAAGCAGACACUUGCUUAAUCAUAUCAAGGAGUGGAAUGUUGAUCUUCACUUGCAUCAAAACUUCCAAAAUCUCCAAAGUCUUAUCUCCCACUUUGUGUCUCUACAUAGCUAAAGGGAAAGGCAAAUGGUUGGAAACACUCCCUUUAUCUUUACUCACUAUGGUUUCCUCAUAUUUUUCAGUUUCUUUCUCGUUCCUAGCAUUUUUGUCUAUAGUUGGCUCAUCUCUAACAGAAAUAUCUUCACUUAUUGGUUACUUAGGCCCUUCAUAUUCUUUCCCAUUUAUGAGUGUGAUAACUGCAUUGCAAUCUUCCUUUUGCACUUUAGAAACUUCAUUUACUCAUCUCGAAUUUUUCUAUGGUUGAGCUGAAAACUUUCAUUUUUCUUGAGAUAAGCCUACAGCAAGUUGGCUCAAAGUGGUUCAAAUAUCUGCUAGUUCUUGAGAUGUUUGAGCAUUUAUCCUACUUUGAUCCUCAUAACGUUUGUCUUGCUUCUGUAUGAACUAUCUCAUCAUAUCUUCCAAGCUUGAUUUAGACGAUGAGGUCUGAGGUUGUGGCUAAAAAAUUUGAGACGACAUACCUUGUGGUUGAAAACCUUGCUGCCCAUUAGUCUAAUUACCCUGAAAUUGGUUUCCUUGCUGUUGAAACUGGCCAUGUUACCUCUUCUCCAUGAUAGAUUUGGAUGAUUCCUCUAAUCCAAAUUAUAAGUGUUGGAAUAUGGAGAAUUGUUAAAAUAUUGCUUGUAUGUCCCUAAGGCAUUGGCUUGCUUUGAAAACAUGUCUUGCAUUGCAAAUAGAGUGGGACAAGAUUGCACACCAUGUUUUGUGGACUUACAUGUCAAGCACAGUUGAGUUAUGCCCUCAUUGACUAUUUGUAUCUCUUAAACUCCCUUGGCUUCCAAAUCAUCCAACCUCCUCAUAAUGGUCGCAAACUUUGCUUAGACAUCUAUACCCUCAAGUAAGGUAUACACUCCACUAGCUCUUGCCUUGUUCACUAUUCUAUCUCUAGGUGGUUCCUUGACAAUUGGUUCUUCCCAACUUCUAGAUACCUCAGCAACAUAAUCAGGGAAUUGAAAUGCUUCAUUAGGGUUUUUAUUCAUGAAACCUCCUCUACACAUAGUCUCGAGAAGUUGUUUCAUUGGUGGUGACAUGCCUUCAUAGAAAUACAAUACUAGCAUCCAAUUGUCAAAUCUGUGAUAGGGGCAUGUUGCGACCAUCUCCUUAAAUCUUUCCCAACAUGCAAAAAAUUUAUCAUCCUCCAUAGCCUUGAAAUUCAAGAUCUCAUUUUUCAAUGCACUAGUCCUAUGUGUUGGAAAGAAUUUUUGCAGAAACACUGAUUGUAGAUCACCCCAAUUUCUGAUACUAUAGGGUUUAAGACUAUUUAACCAAGUCUUAGCUUUAUCUUUCAAUGACAAGGGGAAUAGCUUCAUACGGAAGAUCUCCAAAGGAGUGUUGGCUUCUCAAAAAAUUGAAACGAUGUCCUCAAAUUCCUUGAUGUGAGAGUAUGGGUCUUCAUUUUAUGUCCCCUUAAAAAUGGGUAGUUGAGAUACCACUUGAGGCCGAAUGGUAACAUGAUCGUGAUUUGGAGGUAGCAUAAAACAUGAUGGUAUGCUCAACCUGGGAGGAUUUAGAAACUUUCUCAUAGUUCUUUGGUCUUGCAUAGGUGGUCGUGGCUUGUUGUUGUUGCUGUUGGACUCUUCAGUGUCCUCCAUAUUUGGUUGAGAUUCUUCAGUUGUUCUUUGAAGUCUACCUAAAAGAUCUCUUUCCCAACCAAGCAUAAAAUAGAAAAAAAUAUAUAUAUAAAGAAAAAAAAAUUAAAAGAACUAAAACAAAGCAAUGCACUAUAUCCUAGUUAUGACAGUUGCCAAUCCUCGGCAACGAUGCCAAUUUCUUUACCGAACUUCUCUGUUGUACCAAAAUUCUUAGCCUUUUUAUAUAGCAACUUUGAUCAAGAAAAACUAGAAAAAGAGUCACUAUGACUUUUAUAGUACUCCAAGUAUCGUCUUUAGGGACUGACUUAUGGAAAUUGUUAAUACUAUAAUAAAUGAAUUGCUUUUAUUUAAAUCCUAAAGUGAAAAACAAUUUGGGGAUUAUCUUUUAUGAAAUGGGAUUAAGUGAAUGAAACUAUAUUAAUUACAAAUUGAAUAUUAAUUUUUAAUUCAAUCGAUUCAAGUUUGGGGUUUUCCACAAUCCAACUUAAGGUAUAGAAAUAGAGAGAACAAGGGUUUCUUAAGUAAGCUGAUCUUAGGGUUUUGGGAUCCUUGGCCGUUUGCGAUCAACUUGAGUUCUAUAACUCAAAAUUGCAUCUGAAACCUAAUUUUUCUUUUUUAAAAUAGAUUCCUAAAACCAUCAAAUGAAUGAGAUUGAUUACUAUAUUAAGAUUUGACUUUUUAAUCCUUCCCACUCCUUAUAGCUUUGUUUUGGGGCAAAUAACAAUAGGGAAGAUGAAGAUAACUAAUGAUCAAGAAUUAUAAAAAAUCACUAGUUUCAGGUAGUAACCUACCGUAUCAUUUCCUAACCUAACUCACAAGAAUAGAAUAACGAAAUUGAUAAAUCAUCACCCAACCAAUAAUUAUUCUCAUUGUUAUAAUAAUUUACUCAUUGUCCCUAUAGGUUUCCUAGCCCUUAGGUUUUCAUGUUUCAAACCCUAAGUUGGCUUCUUAGCCUCUCAUGGGGGUGAUAUCACAUUCACAAUUCAUAAUAGGGUAAAAAUCUAUAAUUUGAAUAAAAAAAAACUAAAAACAAUAUAUUUAAUAAAGAAGAAAAAGAAAACAAACCAAAGUUCUCCUCUUCUUCCACCUUCAAUGUCAAACUCUCCAGAAAAAAAAUCCAAGAUACCUCAAACUUAGAACUAAGAGAGUUUAUAUAAUAUCAUCAAUUACCUAACAUGUGGCACACUCUUAUUGGCCACUUAUUAAAAAAAUGAUUAUCUAAGAAAAUGAAUAAAAAAUAAUCAAAUGGUGAUUUCUAGUCAUAUGGGGUCCACUUAGAGUGGAUGGAGUGUCCUAGAUGUAAUUCCCGAGGUAGAGGAGGCAAAACAUCAAAGUGACAGUGGGUGAAAUCGAAAUUGGGGUCAUUUCGAAUUGGAUUUCGAAAUGGCCCUUUAGCUUUUCACAAUUGUCUUCAAAUGACCAUAACUUCUUUAUUUCAGCUCUGAUUUGUACACCAUUUGAAGCGUUGAACUUCUGACUUCCCGAGCUUCGAAACAAUAUAUAGUAUGCCUAAAAUGGACUUCGGAAAGUACUCCAAAUUUGUCCUCAAAAUCAGAGUACAUGUUACCACUAGAUUUUGAGUUCCAAAUUUCCAUGCAACUGAAUCUUGCUUCAUGCCUCAUUUCCUAUGUUUUCUUGCCUUCUUUCUUACUCCAUAAUGGUCAUUUCUCAUCUUCCAAACUCAUGAUAUCCUCGUUCUCAUGGUCCAUGAGUCUUGACUCACUUAUUUCCUCAUUUAACAUUUUCUUGAUCUUUCAAAAUCUAAAGUGAUUCAACUUGCACCCUUUUCUUCCCUUGAAUUUGAGAUAAGUCUCCAAAGUACAAGUUAAACUCAUGGUUAGGGCCUUAGCAUCGAUUUAGUUCAAGUUGGGUGAUUUGAAUGUCCUUUGGUGCACAAAUCAUAUCGAAUAUGUGCCAUUAGAGCACAUAUUUUGGCUUUAAUCAACCAUCCUUUUGGAAUCUAUUUAACUCCUUGUGGAAUGUUAGAUACCAUUAAGAAUCUCUAGUGGAUCAAGCAAAUGAAUUGGAUCGAUAGGCUUGUUUGAAGAGGGAGAUGUCAAGAAUGUUUAUGGUCGAGUGAUUAUGGGAUGUGCGAAAUUUGGAAAUGUCAGGUGUGAAGCAAAAUUCAAAAUGAAAUGAAAUAGGAGAGAAUGGUAGAAUGGGUGAGCCACCCAUUCAAGAAUAGAGGAAGCAAGUAGGUUUUCUAUGACAAUCUGCUGAAAGAAAAGAUGUUUCAUCAUAUUGAUGAUAACAGGAAGUACUGAUGCACUCAGAGUGUUUAUCCAGAUUGAAUGUGUUUUUGCUAGAUCAAUUUGUGUGCAUAGAUAUAGAAAUAUGUGUAAAUAUAAUCCAAAGCUAUGAAGCUCGUAGUCUUGAACCUGUUCAUCUUAUUCACAAACCCUUUCCAAUUGUGGUGGAGACGGGAUGAGUCAAUUCAUUGGGCCCAUUACCAUCCAUCUCUAAACAAAACUGUAAUGCAGGAUUCCAUCCGAAACCAUAAAGGUGUAUUAUCAUGGAAAACAAUUUGUUUUUUGUCCCUUUACUAUGACUCUCCAUCUUGAUCUUGAGCAUGAGGAAGUUCCUUAUUAGGAUGCUACUAUAAUUUGAGAAAAUUUUAAAAAUUUAAUUUUGAUGCUUUUGUGCUCCAUCAAUAUUCACAAGUUCUGUGUAUGUCUACUGAUGAUUCUCAACCAUAAACUGAAUCUACCACUUUGUUGUUGACUGUAAAGAAAAUCGUUUUGCCAUCCAUGGGAACCUAUAUUGACCUCCAGCCAUGCUACUGGCUAUAAUAGAUCUGGAACAUUAUUACAAUGAAAUUUGACCUGCAGUAAAGUAGCAUGGUUGGGCAAAACAAACAAUAACCCCUCCCUGCAUCAAUAUUCAGCAACCUGUAUGUGUUUAACCAGAAUUUCUUGGAUCAUGAUUUAUCAAUUUGAGCUGUGCUUGGAGGGAUUGAAGAGCUAAAAGAUCUGUUGAAGAUUGACUGGAAAAAAAUUGAUGGUUCCAUGGAUAGUGAGCUGUAUUUUAGCUACAGCUUUCUGGGAUUGAAGAGCCAAAAAGACCCAUUGAAAGGGUCGGUCCUAGAAAAAUGUUUACGGCUCUAUGGAUUUGCGCUGCACAUUGGACUACUUACAGAGCAACUGCUUCCAAAAGGAAUUAUUCAAAUUGCAGAAUGCUAGUUUCUUCCUGGAGCUGGAAGAUCCACAGCCUCCACAAUUGCUCUGUGUUGGACAACAAUUGCUACUGAAGUGAUUCUAGUUGCUUCCAAAAAGAAUUAUCCAAAUUGCGGAAUGCUAGUUUCUUCCUGGAAGAUCCAUAGCCUCCACAACUCUGUAUUGGGCAACCAUUGCUACUGAAGUGAUUCUGGGAUGCUGGUGGAAAUUUAGGUAAACUAGAAAGUCAAAGUUACUGCAUUUCUGUAACUUUUCCUUUUUGAAUCCAGCCACAGGAUGGGAUUGAAGCCAUGCUGUCUGUCUGCCACUGUCACAAGCUUCACUCCAGCCAAGGCAACCGCAGCUUCGUGCAUAACUUUUCUUGCUUGUCUAUUCUUACAUUAGGUAGUACACUUCAUUAAUUGCUCCCUGAGACAUUGACAAGUAAAGGAUAAGGACUCAAGGAAAAAAAACAGAAAGUAUGCAAUGAUUUCCAAUUCUUGUUAACUGUAAUGAUAAUGGUAUAGGACAUGGACUGGGAAAUGUGAAAUGAUACGGAAACACCAAGAGUAAUAAUAUCUAUGAAAUUGAAUGGGGAACUUACAACUCAAAAAUCAGUGUAAUGUCAUAUAAAGUUUGGGCAGAUAAUUAGCAGAAUGGAAGAAUUGUUUGUUAUAUUAUAUGGUAGGUACUUGUGUAGUAUCUGAUUUUCUAUCUAUUCUGAACUUCUGGAACCUUUUUCUUAACCUCACUUUUUUUAUUGCACUAAACAUAGCAUAAUAUUUAUUGAUUACUGGCUCGUAAUUAACACAUCUUUUGCUGGUACUGCAGAUGAUGGGGGUAUCAUAGCUGUACAAACAAUCUAUGGAUGCCACUGUAAGAAUCUUAACACCCCAUUUCACCACAUUUCUGCAGGAUCACCUUCUAGGAUAAGGUUUAAUAAGAAAGAAAAUAAUUCUCAUAAUGGUUUCGAAUACAGCAUUCUGAUUUUUGCAUCUCAUGUUGGAGGAACGUGUUCUUGUUUCAAGCUAGUUACAAGUUGUCUCAUGUUGUUCUAAGUGUUUGAUUGAUUGUGUACAGAACAGAAAUCUGAGUCAAGUGUUAGGCUUGUUUAGCUCACCCUCCUGCAGAAUUUAUCAGUCAUCUACCUAGUUAAGUAAUUGCAGUAAUAUAUGGUGGCCCAUGAUCUAGCUCAACGAUGGUGUCCUCUGGCAAUAAAUCAUGACGUAGGAAAGAGAGGUGGGCUCAUAUGACUUGCUUAUUCUCAAAUGCCAUUUCACUAUUCGAACAUGUUACAAAUUAGGCACUUUCUGGAAAUCUAGAAAAUCAUGGAGUCUUGUCUAUUUUCACUGUUAAGCCAAAUCUGAAGAGACUUGAAUCUGAAAAAAUAAAUCAUAGUUAAUGUGUCCUGCUGACCCUUGAUUCUUCGAUUGGCUUCAAAACAAUAGUUAAUGAACGGGCAGCCAUGGAAGUCUGCUAAUUAAUACUUGCAGCUAUAAAUUCAUUGGCCUCUUUAAUUCCUCUGAGUUCUACACAUUUUAAAAACAGCUGAGUCUUCACUCCAAAAUUUUGAUUUUGUCAGAAGAUCUUUUAUUUAACUUCAGAAGUCAACUUAUGUUUAACAUUAGAGAUAAUCCCCUUUACGGAGAGAUUGAGAUUGAAGAAAUAAAUUAUGUACUAAGAACAUGCUUGGCUGCAAGGAAAAGGUUGGGUGUGGGGUUGCCCAUGGUUGAAGAGAAUUUUUCCAGAUAAUAUUUUAAGUACGGAUUGCCAAAUUUUCAAUGGUCUGCCGCCCCCACAAGUGGAUUAUUACCUUCAGGCAGCUGUUUUUUUUUCAUUUGUUUAUUAUUUCUAUUAAAAACCAA